GUACAUCCUGAUGCGGUAGAUGGAAUUUUGCAUACAUUGCAGGUGGAAAACGUCAGCGCUGAAAAAUAAUUCUAAUUAUUAUUGCCCAUCAAGAAAACUUCAUGUUAUUAGCAAUAGAAGUAUUAAUGUUGUCAGAUAUCUGCAUCUCCUAAUUGUAUAAGUUUAUCUCAACUGCGUAGCUGUAGUUAGAAAUUGUGCUACAUUUGUUUUUGUGUUUUGCAAAUUUUGCAGAUGUUUUCGUUAUCUUACUCUUCGGCGUUACCUCCGUGCGAGACAGAUAAAUACUCGUACUAACCAGUAAGCACUGCCGGAAUCCAUGUUCAUUCGCGAGUGCGGCAGCAAAAGGAAAAUAAAAUUAAUAUGCCGUAGCGCAUGAAGAAGUACUGAUCUUCAUUCGCUAAUACAAAUCUGGAGAAUUAUGCGCACGGAUAAGUUUCCUUGAGAUUAUGUAAAUUGUAAUGUGUUAUCCUUGCGUAUGCUGCUACAGGGCUGUAAUACGGGUUUUGUUGUGCUGAGUGCAAUCUGGAUUUAAUUCCUACGAUCGAGUUACGGAAGAGCCUGUAACUCAAAAACAUUUUGGAGUAUGUUUUGCCGUAUGUAACUUGCUUAGCUGAUGUGUUGGCUUAAAAACUUGUAACUUUUUGCAGCUGAUAAAACUGCAGUUCGACUGCGAGGCAUUGUCAAUAUGACCUUAGGUUCUUAUCGCGCCGUGAAUAAUUAACUUGCAAUAAAAGCCUGUCACACCGGUUCUUCACGGGGUUUGUCGGUAAUUGUCGAUUCAGGUUAACUGCGGCUUUGGAAUUACACGACUGAUGUCUGUGCACAUAUUGUAAUCAGUAGCUAUGAACAAAUUAUCAGUCUCUUGUUCGCCGAUCCUGUUGCUGCAUGUGUAACUUUUCAUAACAGACAGGGAUGCCUAUAUGGAGUAUAAAUAUCCCGCAUGAGGAUGUUAGUUUCGCGAUAUUCCGAUAUGUACAGCAUCAAAACCAGCAGUAACCAGAUCCACAGUUGUAUUCCUCCCAAAGCUGCAGCUGGAUGCGAAAACGAUGACGAUAUUUCCGUGAUCAUUUGCCCUGUUACCUUCUGCUGGCAGCUUACGGUGUUUCGCAAGCGCAGUUCCCUGAAUCUCAUAAUACAAGUUUCUUAAUUGGGAUCAUUUUUCCUGAGUUGUGAUGGCUAAAGCGGAAGUUUCUCUGCAAGAUAUCACGAAUUCCGUUCCGGUCAGCGAUGUUGAUGCGCACACGAUGAUUCCGGGAGAAAAAAGGUUGCAGUUAGCGUCAGCGAAGAAAACCAGCCAAACGUCUCGGCAUCCACAUCAAAUGCGUGGUUUUGUGAAAUCCUUCCGCUUGAUACCGGUGCAACUUGCACACGUGUUCUCGUUCCCGGCGAUCCCAAUGCUGGAAAACAGAAGCUUCCCUGUCCCGUUGCGGGAUGCAGCGAGAGAUUAUUUCCUGCCAGGGAUAUGUAUUACCUAAAACGGCACUUCCUACACGAUCACUCAGCUUCGCAUCCUAAUCCAGUUUUCAUAACUGUUUGCCCGGUAGAGCACUGCCGACAGCAUUGUGGCCAAACUUUAGAAGAAUUGCGGAAACACUUGAUUUUCGCUCAUCCGGACAGUUACCGCCACUUGAUUUCAGCCAGAUUUACUCAUCAAAACAGUUAAAAGGAAUUUCUUUUGUAUUUUGCUUUCUUAUAAUUUGUACAGAUUGCCAUGAAUUAGUGCUAUAACUUCCUUUAUACUUUCCUUGUACAACGUUGUGGCGUAAUUUUGAUUGGCGGGCAUUAAUUAGUAAAUCAAAUUAUUAGUUCUUAAUAGGUGACUAUUGUUCGAGCUACAAAUAGUUGGCCAAUAAACACGC